AGCAGCCGCGGUAAUUCCAGCUCCAAUAGCGUAUAUUAAAGUUGCUGCAGUUAAAAAGCUCGUAGUUGAAUUUCGGGACCAAUAUGUCGGUCGUGCCUCGGUACGUACUGGCAUCGUUGGUUUCUCCCUUCUGACGAACCAUGAUGUCAUUUAUUUGGUGUCGUGGGGAAUCAGCACUGUUACUUUGAAAAAUUAGAGUGUUUAAAGCAAGCUAACGCUUGAAUACAUUAGCAUGGAAUAAUGAAAUAGGACGUUCGAUCCUAUUUUGUUGGUUUCUAGGAUUGACGUAAUGAUUAAUAGGGAUAGUUGGGGGCAUUAGUAUUCAAUUGUCAGAGGUG
rnacentral:rRNA from 1 species